rnacentral:rRNA from 1 species
UGGGGAAUUUUGGACAAUGGGCGAAAGCCUGAUCCAGCAAUGCCGCGUGUGUGAAGAAGGCCUUCGGGUUGUAAAGCACUUUUGUCCGGAAAGAAAUCCUUGGCUCUAAUACAGUCGGGGGAUGACGGUACCGGAAGAAUAAGCACCGGCUAACUACGUGCCAGCAGCCGCGGUAAUACGUAGGGUGCAAGCGUUAAUCGGAAUUACUGGGCGUAAAGCGUGCGCAGGCGGUUUGCUAAGACCGAUGUGAAAUCCCCGGGCUCAACCUGGGAACUGCAUUGGUGACUGGCAGGCUAGAGUAUGGCAGAGGGGGGUAGAAUUCCACGUGUAGCAGUGAAAUGCGUAGAGAUGUGGAGGAAUACCGAUGGCGAAGGCAGCCCCUGGGCCAAUACUGACGCUCAUGCACGAAAGCGUGGGGAGCAAACAGGAUUAGAUACCCUGGUAGUCCACGCCCUAAAACGAUGUCAACUAGUUGUUGGGGAUUCA